UAGAGGUUCUACAGUUUUCAGACUCCAGGACUUACAUUAGCACCCCAUACCGUAAUCCCAGCCCAGGUUCUUAGGGCUUAGACUUGGACUGAAUGACAUCACCAGCAUUCCUACUUUUGCUGCUUGCAAAUGGAUCAUGUGACACAUCUUGGCCUCCAUAAUGAUGUCUUCCACUAUUGUUGUAUAGCAGAGCAGUCAAUCAAAUGUCACCUCAGAGCCAUAUGCAAUCAAGCCUGGAAAAACUACUUGUACAGGUAUUAAGAGUCAAUCUGAGCAAAUAAACCAUUAAUUGAAUAAA